CCCUUAGAUGUUCUGGGCCGCACGCGCGCUACACUGAUGCAUUCAACGAGUCUAAAACCUGCUCUGAUAGGGGUGGGUAAUCUUUUGAAUGUGCAUCGUGAUUGGGAUAGAUGAUUGCAAUUUUUCAUCUUCAACGAGGAAUGCCUAGUAAACGCAAGUCAUCAGCUUGCAUUGAUUACGUCCCUGCCCUUUGUACACACCGCCCGUCGCUCCUACCGAUUGAAUGAUCCGAUGAAUAUCAUGGAUUGAGGAUGCAAGUAGGUUCGCCUAUCUUCAUCUUCGAGAAGUGAAGUAAAUCUUAUCAUUUAGAGGAAGUAAAAGUCGUAACA
rnacentral:rRNA from 1 species